CAAAGAUGCUGAGACAUUUAUGUACCCCACCCAACCCCUCACUGGUUAGUAUAACUGCCCACUUUCUUCCAUGCCCAGGUUCUUCCUGCUUUUAGUUCAGCAACUUCCUGGGGGUGGGGGGUGGGGGGAAGAAAGCCUCAGGCAGGCCGGGCAUUAGCAGCAUCUGUGGCCAGUGUGCACGCACCAAAUGCCUGGGCAUGAGAAACACUCUGCUUCAGAGUGAAUAGAUCUCCUGGCUCAUGCCAACCCAGAUAUGGUACUUUCUUUGCAGAUGGCCAACAAUUAUUUGCUUUCUGAAGUGACAUACGCUGUCCAUGUCAUAGGCUACUGGGGUCACCUUGGAUACUCUACAAGUCAAGUCAGGACACCUGGAGAAGAUGCUCUUCUGCCAGCAUUGGGGAAGAAUGAAGAAGACUGCCCAAGUUGACCAAGAAGAUGGUCUGGUUUGUGAAGAGCUGAGGCGAUCAUGUUCCAGCUCCUUCCCUGAGGCAGGAGUCAUAUUGCAUAGGGGGAACUAGGCAACAUGGGGAACUAGGGACACUUUGCCAGCUGAAUUUUGAGGCAUCAGCAUCACCCACGAAUACAACAACAAUGAGGGGCAACCCCCAUCCAUGGACCACACCUGGCAUCUGGAAGGGGCUUCCUCUUGGAAGGAUUGCUGUAGGAGCUAAAUGGGGUAGAUACACAACUUUGAUUUUAAAAAAAAAAUAUGAACAAUACCAUCAAAAAGGAAAAUGGAGCCAGGCAUUGGUGGCGCACGCCUUUUAUCCCAGCACUCGGGAGGCAGAGGUAGGCAGAUCUCUCAAGUUCAAGGCCAGCCGGGUCUCCAGAGCGAGUGCCAGGAUAGACUCCAAAGCUAAACAGAG
rnacentral:lncRNA from 1 species